CAGACUUGGGACUGCCGCCGAAAGACUUGUCAACAUCCCUGGGAGAGGGUCUUCUUGGGUUAUUGCCAGGAUAACAACAGUCGUAACCCCCUCAAACCCCCCUCAGUAAAAUGUACAACAUCCCUUGAAAUACCAGAUGCUGGGGGCCCAACAGCAAAGAUCUGUGUAUCUAGCAUCUGUUGAAAAUAAGAUUUUGGACUAGAUCAGUCCUUGAUCCGGGCAGGAUUAUUUCUGCUCCUUAAGGAUUAUUAGUUGAAGAACAUAACAAAUGACUUUGAAAACACACAUGAAAGUUGCAGCCUGUUAUUUGUCCUCACCAUGUAAUGUUCAGUACUAUCGUACUUCGGGCACAUUAAGAGAAGACAUGAGUCAUUGGAAAAGGCAAUAA